rnacentral:rRNA from 1 species
GAUGAACGCUGGCGGCGUGCCUAAUACAUGCAAGUCGAGCGAACGGACGAGAAGCUUGCUUUUCUGAUGUUAGCGGCGGACGGGUGAGUAACACGUGGAUAACCUACCUAUAAGACUGGGAUAACUUCGGGAAACCGGAGCUAAUACCGGAUAAUAUUUUGAACCGCAUGGUUCAAAAGUGAAAGACGGUCUUGCUGUCACUUAUAGAUGGAUCCGCGCUGCAUUAGCUAGUUGGUAAGGUAACGGCUUACCAAGGCAACGAUGCAUAGCCGACCUGAGAGGGUGAUCGGCCACACUGGAACUGAGACACGGUCCAGACUCCUACGGGAGGCAGCAGUAGGGAAUCUUCCGCAAUGGGCGAAAGCCUGACGGAGCAACGCCGCGUGAGUGAUGAAGGUCUUCGGAUCGUAAAACACUGUUAUUAGGGAAGAACAUAUGUGUAAGUAACUGUGCACAUCUUGACGGUACCUAAUCAGAAAGCCACGGCUAACUACGUGCCAGCAGCCGCGGUAAUACGUAGGUGGCAAGCGUUAUCCGGAAUUAUUGGGCGUAAAGCGCGCGUAGGCGGUUUUUUAAGUCUGAUGUGAAAGCCCACGGCUCAGCCGUGGAGGGUCAUUGGAAACUGGAAAACUUGAGUGCAGAAGAGGAAAGUGGAAUUCCAUGUGUAGCGGUGAAAUGCGCAGAGAUGUGGAGGAACACCAGUGGCGAAGGCGACUUUCUGGUCUGUAACUGACGCUGAUGUGCGAAAGCGUGGGGAUCAAACAGGAUUAGAUACCCUGGUAGUCCACGCCGUAAACGAUGAGUGCUAAGUGUUAGGGGGUUUCCGCCCCUUAGUGCUGCAGCUAACGCAUUAAGCACUCCGCCUGGGGAGUACGACCGCAAGGUUGAAACUCAAAGGAAUUGACGGGGGCCCGCACAAGCGGUGGAGCAUGUGGUUUAAUUCGAAGCAACGCGAAGAACCUUACCAAAUCUUGACAUCCUUUGACAACUCUAGAGAUAGAGCCUUCCCCUUCGGGGGACAAAGUGACAGGUGGUGCAUGGUUGUCGUCAGCUCGUGUCGUGAGAUGUUGGGUUAAGUCCCGCAACGAGCGCAACCCUUAAGCUUAGUUGCCAUCAUUAAGUUGGGCACUCUAAGUUGACUGCCGGUGACAAACCGGAGGAAGGUGGGGAUGACGUCAAAUCAUCAUGCCCCUUAUGAUUUGGGCUACACACGUGCUACAAUGGACAAUACAAAGGGCAGCGAAACCGCGAGGUCAAGCAAAUCCCAUAAAGUUGUUCUCAGUUCGGAUUGUAGUCUGCAACUCGACUACAUGAAGCUGGAAUCGCUAGUAAUCGUAGAUCGGCAUGCUACGGUGAAUACGUUCCCGGGUCU